CCCCUCUCAGGGUCACACAUGGAGAGUUUCCAGUACUCUACUAGUCUUGACUAUGGGAGGGAGAGUCAAGCACAAGCCUACCCAUUCCAUUCCUAGCUUGGGCAGUGGCUAGUGAGGGGAAGACAAUCUGCUGCAAGU